rnacentral:rRNA from 1 species
UUCGUCACACUAUCAUUAACUGAAUCCAUAGGUUAAUGAGGCGAACCGGGGGAACUGAAACAUCUAAGUACCCCGAGGAAAAGAAAUCAACCGAGAUUCCCCCAGUAGCGGCGAGCGAACGGGGAGGAGCCCAGAGCCUGAAUCAGCAUGUGUGUUAGUGGAAGCGUCUGGAAAGGCGCGCGAUACAGGGUGACAGCCCCGUACACAAAAGCGCAUGUGCUGUGAGCUCGAUGAGUAGGGCGGGACACGUGGUAUCCUGUCUGAAUAUGGGGGGACCAUCCUCCAAGGCUAAAUACUCCUGACUGACCGAUAGUGAACCAGUACCGUGAGGGAAAGGCGAAAAGAACCCCGGCGAGGGGAGUGAAAAAGAACCUGAAACCGUGUACGUACAAGCAGUGGGAGCCCCACCACCAAAGCAUUUGCUGUACCGCGUUGACGGAGCGAAGCGACGUCAAACCGAUAA